CAAUAGCGUAUAUUAAAGUUGUUGCGGUCAAAAAGCUCGUAGUUGGAUUUCUGCUGAGGAUGGGCGGUCCGCUCACUGAGCGUGUAUCUGCUUCAGCCUUGGCAUCCUCUCGUUAAUCGUUUCUGCGCUUGAUUGCGUGGGGCGGGUGGCGGGACUUUUACUUUGAGGAAAUUAGAGUGUUCACGGCAGGCUAUCGCCAGAAUACAUUAGCAUGGAAUAAUACUAUAGGAUCUUGGUCCUAUUUUGUUGGUUUCUAGGAUUAAGAUAAUGAUUAAUAGGGACAAUUGGGGGCAUUCGUAUCAACACGUCAGAGGUGGAAUUCUUGGAUUGUGUUGCGACGAACUACUGCGAAAGCAUUUGCCAAGGAUGUUUUCAUUGA
rnacentral:rRNA from 1 species